rnacentral:lncRNA from 1 species
UUGUGAAAAUGUGAAAUGAGGAAGUAGAGAACUGAAGUGGUAGUGGCCCUUGUAUUUGCUGUCAAGGAGAACAGAGAUUGGUUGUAACGUUCAGAAGGAGAGCAAGAGGAGCCCAAAGUAGUGAUGGGCAGUGGUACCUUCCAGUUCAGUAGAAACAUUGUUGUGUCGCUGGGUGGAUACAUUUCUUCCUUUGGAACCAAGACCUCUGAGCCAACACAGCAUAAGGUCAUGAGGAUGGGAAGCAGAAAUUUUUCUAGUGGAUCACUAAAGAUCACUCAUCCUGGGAGAUACCAUCAGCCACGUUAUGAGACUACUCCAGCAGUUCUGUGGUGAGGAAGCAACUUUCCAGCAACAACUCAUUAUCUAUGGGAUUAUGUCACCUGGAAGUGAAUUUUCUAGCCUCAGUCAAGCCUUCAGAUAAUUGCAGCCUCAGCUCACAUCUGACUACAAACUCAUGAGAGAUUUCAAUCCAGAAAC